UCUUCUGCUGUGGCAUGGUUGCUCCCACUGCAGGUACCCUGGGAGUCUGAUCUUUCCUUCCCUGGCCAGCUGUUUGUAAAUCUGGUUUGGAGGGGCCUCAGCACUGUUGGCUACAAAGUCUAUUAGCAGACUCUUAUUUCAAGUGUCCUCUUAAUUGGAUUGGUACCCAGUGUAGCUGGUUGCUAGGCUCAGGGGGGUACAGUUGUGAUAGGCCUGAGGCCAACAAGGCUGAUGUCAGUUCUCUUAGGAGUGCAGCUGAGUGGGGCUAGCCCUUGGCAUGGAGGCACUCAGUUGUUUCAGGCUUUGAAAGGUGGGGCUGAUCCUUUUUAUGGCUAUUUGUGAAGCACAAGUCUUCUGCCUCUGAUAAGCCUCACCCCCCUCUGGACCACAUACACUGUAAACACAGUCCUUGUCUGUGCACACUUCUCAACCCUCUGGAGUGUACCCCACCGCCACACUGCAGAGGCCCCCACCUCUGCCCCAAGGCUCCCCUCACAGUUCACCUGGUCCUCACACAAGCCCUGCCCCACAGAGGCAGACACCCUUGCCUGCCUGUAGAGGAUCAAGGUACUCAGUCAAUGCAGGCUGAAAAGUCGCCUGAGGGCGUGCUGUUAGGUGGGGCCAAUCCCUAGGGCAGGUUGCCUGCCCUGGCUGAACUGGAUUAAAUCUGUGCUCUAGUGGGUGUGGCAGACCCCUGGGCUAACAGCCCAAGGGAUGCACCUCAAUGGCCCCCACCAGUGUCCCUAUCAGCAUGCCUGGACCAGCUCAGAGCAACGGCCCCCACCAAUGUCUCAGUCUCAGGAGAGGAUCCUCCUCUCACCAAGAUGCCCCCAGAGCCCACUAGGAUGUUAGAGAUGUGUAAACUAAAGGAAUGAAGGAAUUGGAAAACCUCCUUUGAGCAACUGUAAUAAUACUUCCCGACAAGAACCAUUAGUGGGUGCUAAAAUUGCCCUCUACUAAAGAGAGCUGCCUUGCCCAAGGUUACCCUCUCCAAGGGGAUAGUCCCCAUCCAAAGCCAGGAGAGUACAUGUGGGACUGGAUCUUGAGUACUUAAUCAAGGGGAUAGAAUUUAAAAUUGGAGAAGCACUAGUAUGCUUCUAGAAUGACUGUUGAAAGCUUGGGAAAAGUGAUAGCCCAUACUAAAAUGAAGGAGAAAUGCCCAGAAAUGCCAUGGCAGAUGGUGGCAGAAGGGAUUAAAAGGCUCGAAAAGGUGAGCAGCUAGACAGUCAACUAUGUUUAGCUGGAGGAUACUCUGUUUGUCAAAGCAAUAAGGAAUGUGCUGGUGAAGGGGGCAUUAGAAUCAUUGAGAAGAUUAAUGGUGCUGUCCUCUAUAAUUCAGGACUGUUCUAGAAUUUGGCUACCUAAUAGCAAUGGGGGUGAAAGGAUUCUGAAAUAAUGGAGGCAAAAUGGCAGCAUGUAACCAUCAGAAGCAGAAUGAGUAGAAUUAUCAUAAGUAGUAGCAAUUUCAGAGUGACAGCCAAGGGGCCUGACCUGCACAGAGCUGUAAAGAUAGUUAAUAGAACAUGGUAUUCCCACGGGUAAGAUAAUGGGCAGCCAAUAAAGGUAUGCUUAAUUUAUUUAACCCAAAGAAAUGAAGAUGGAUAAUCAGAAGGCUGAAGGCCCUAACCCCAAUUCAUGAUUCAUGAUUCAUGAUUCGGACCUGAACUAGGCAAUUUUCAGACUUACCUAAGAGAGAGGCUCUGUCCCCAUGAUGCAGGAUCCUCGAAAAGCAUGGCAAGUGUUUGUGGUAAUGAUUCCCACUAUCCUUCUUGAAAGGGACUUAGGGCUUUUUACUUGGGUGACCAUACACUGGGGAAAAGGGAAUACCCAGGCAUUUGGAGGACUAUUGGACACAAUUGUACAAGUCGACAUUGAAGGAAGUGUCGUAGUAGCCCCUCCCUUUAAAGCCAAAGAGGGCCAAGUAGUAAAUGAAAUUCUAAUCUUGGUCUCACUCACAGUGGGUCCACUGUGUUCACAAACCCAACCAGUGGCCAGCUCCCCAAGCCUUACGUGUAAAAUUGGAAUGUACAUGCUUAGUAAUUGGCAGAACCUUCUCACGGAUUUGUUGACCUGUGGGAUAAGGGAUAGCACAGUGACAAACACCACAUGGAAGCUUCUGAAACUGUCCCCUCCCCUUGGCCAAGUAAUGAAAAGUGUUGUCACUUUCUGGAUUGGGUUUUUAAUGGCUUGAAAAAGUAUAAAGUAGUUUUGGAAGCAGUGACACUAUUAUGAUAUUCAUCCUUCAGUUCCCAGAGUGAUAUAUUUAAUUGCCAUCAUGGAUAGAAAAGUUCGUUACAUUCGCUAAAUGUUGGUGGUUUCUGAAGAGCUGUCCAGCUGCCAUUUUAAUUCCUUAAUCCAGGAUGGGGAUUGUGACCUGCAUGAUUCAGAAAAACACUCAGUUGAGGAACAUUCAUAAGGACAAAGGAACCAAUUCAAUUUUGUUUUGUUUUAGGGAAAGGAACAACUAAUUGUUUAUUCAACAAGUAUUUGUUGAAGGAUUGAACUGGGCGCUUUGUAGGUAUAAAAAGAUUAAUAUGUGGGCCCUGUCCUCAACAAGCUUAUCAGUUUGUAAGAGAGAUAAAUCUCCAUAUCAAUAAUAAUAACGACACUGACAACAAGAAAGGUAGGGAAUUAUUAGGGCAGAGGGAGAGAGAAGGAGAAAGGGAGAGAGAAAAAGGGAGGGAGGGAGGAAGGGAGAGAGAGCGGGAGAAAGAUGGGAAUUGUAGAAGGAGUUGUGUUCUGAGUGACGGAAUUGCAGAUGGCAUCAGGGCACAGGGCACACUGUCAGGCUUGGAUAGGCAGUUCUCUUUCCCCUAAUUAUAAAUAGAAGGGUUGUAAAGAUAAAUUCAGGAAAGAAAAACAAUAGAGACAUUCUUAGUGGUUGUCAAAAGAUGGAAACUGAAGAAAUUUACCUUAGUUACCUUGUUCUCUGUAAAGUAAUAUGCAAGAUCAUCUGUAAAUAGUAGAUAUUGGAGUUUAAGAAGAAAAGAAGAGGUUUUGAAACUGGUAACAUUGGAGAUAGUGUUGAGAACAGCAAAAGAUGAGUGAAAGCAGGAUUUCGCUAAGUGUGAUCUUAGAGAACACCUACAGCAGAAUCACCUAUUGGAACCUUCACAGAUCACACCAGGCUUAAACCAUGGUGUCAGCACAGCAGUAUUCAUUUCCGGAGGUUCUGGAGGAGAAGUUUUCUUGCCUUUUCCGGCUUCUAGAGGCUGCUGGCAUUCCUGGCUCAUGGCUUCCUUCCUCCAUCUUCUAAGCCAACAGUGUUGCAUGGGUCUUACCAGUCUUCUGCUGUCAGCCUCUUGAUAUCCAUUAAAGAUGGUCCGUGGGAUGUUGUCAUGAGGCAGCUCAGCAGUCCGACCUUCUCAGAUCCUGAACCACAAGAUGUUCUCAUUGAUUGUUUUCUGAGACUCCAAGUAACACAAUUCAUUCCACUCAAUUAGGAAAUUUAAAUUUUCAUUUUCUACUCUCUGUUAAAACAGAAAAUCAACUUCUUAGCAAUCUAGGAUAUACCUGGGUCUUGAGCACUGAAUCCAAC
ensembl:lncRNA